GUCCCUCCGCCUCGCUCCCACCGCAGGGAGACUUCUUUGCUGAGAGAACGGAUGACAGCCCGGGAGAUGGACAGUCUGGUUAGCCAUCUGCCGGUUAUAUAAUAA